rnacentral:rRNA from 1 species
GAUGAACGCUGGCGGCGUGCCUAAUACAUGCAAGUCGAGCGAACAGACGAGGAGCUUGCUCCUCUGACGUUAGCGGCGGACGGGUGAGUAACACGUGGAUAACCUACCUAUAAGACUGGGAUAACUUCGGGAAACCGGAGCUAAUACCGGAUAAUAUAUUGAACCGCAUGGUUCAAUAGUGAAAGACGGUUUUGCUGUCACUUAUAGAUGGAUCCGCGCCGCAUUAGCUAGUUGGUAAGGUAACGGCUUACCAAGGCAACGAUGCGUAGCCGACCUGAGAGGGUGAUUGGCCACACUGGAACUGAGACACGGUCCAGACUCCUACGGGAGGCAGCAGUAGGGAAUCUUCCGCAAUGGGCGAAAGCCUGACGGAGCAACGCCGCGUGAGUGAUGAAGGUCUUCGGAUCGUAAAACUCUGUUAUUAGGGAAGAACAAAUGUGUAAGUAACUAUGCACGUCUUGAAGGUACCUAAUCAGAAAGCCACGGCUAACUACGUG